ensembl:lncRNA
AUAUAUAUAUAUAUAUAUAUAUACAUGAAAAGGUUAUUGAUUUAUGUCUUAUUGAUACAGUAUCUUUACUGCAUCCUUAAAUAACAUGCAAAUUUAUUUAUGUAUUUAAUAACAACAAUGAUCUGUAAUUAAAUAUGUUGCACGUAAUAUAAAAGUUCAUAUCCAUAGUAAUAAUUUUGAUUUUCUUUGUAUUUUUAAGAUAAAUCCUUAUUCACUACAUCAAACAUAAUGCAGUCCAGUACAAUGCUGCACUGCUUUUGAAGAUGUAAAUUGGGUUAUUUGAUGAAAUUGCACUUUCUUGUGUCUUGUUCUUCUGAGUUUGUAUUCUUAUGGUUGAAAUGCACUUAGUUGCCUUGGAUGAAAAGCGUCAGCUAAAUUACAUGUAAUGUAAUGUAAUAAUGAAAUGUUGCGCAUCUGGCCUCAACCAAUCAGUGAUGUAACAGUGAUUUAAUGAAAGUUUCCGUAAAUGUAUGGUUUUUGAACUUUAAUUAAGAUGUUUUACAUUGAUUCUCCAUGUUUUGUUUGUGAACAAAUGCUGCCAGUCAUUUGAUCGUUCAAUGUUGUUUUUUGUAAUGUGCACCCUCUCCUCACCUUUCCAGCAUUCAUAACUUUGUUUUUUUAUUCACUGUACUCAAAAACCAUGGGAAGCUAAAAGUCAUGGGUGAAGCAGGCCCAGCUAACCCACCCACAGUAAGGUUCUCUUCUACACACAGCCCUAUAUGUUUGGAUGCAUUGACGUCAUGGCUGACGAAUUGUAGCCUGGAGUAGCCGGUGCUAUCAAAGGCCCCUAUGUUGAGCUGAACAGAGGUAUUAUUAGACAGCAGUGGGAGAGAUACACAGAGACAGUGGGAGGAGAGAGGAAGGAAGGAGGUUUUCUCGGAGAGAUUUUGAGUAUUCUGUCACUGGUCCCAGCAGUGGAGGGAAAGUGAUAUUUAUUUUAUUUAUAUAUUUUGUUUUUACAAACCAAGUUAGUUUAUUAGUUUUAGCUCACUUUUGUUUUUUCAUCCGGUGACAUUGACCUUUCUAAGCCCCUCCUUUCAUAUUUUCGGCUUUCUUAUUCGUGUAAUAAGAGCAAUUAACGAAAAUGAACAGUGAAGAGAAACUAUGCUGUAGUGCCAGAGAGAAUUGCAGUAUUUCAGAAGAAAUGGGUUGGAUCCGUCCACGAUGGGACAUGUCAGAGUGCCCGGCUAGCUCAGUCGGUAGAGCAUCACAUUCUUAAUCUCAGGGUCGUGGGUUCGAGCCCCACGUUGGGCGUCAUCACUCUAUUUGGAAAGGACGAAUGGGAUGUUGGACUGCUGAAGGAAAACAUCAAAAUCCAUUCACUAUAUGCCUUCACAUAAUCCUUGUUUUUGCAAAGUAUGUGCAGGCCCACUUUUAAAUUCGGAGGGUUUCAUGGAUAUUUUGAGAAGUUUUUGUGACGCUAUUUGCUAACCAGUUUAAUCCAAUAACUUCACGCCACAUGAAAACGGGUCACGACUCUUAAAAACUUCUUAUGUUAGCAUAAAAGUAGGUACCUACAUAUGGAAGACGAAACUAAUGAAGUUCACCAAGAAUCUGGUACGCCACAACAUUUCCUUCCAGUGUAAAUACCAAGUUAUUAGUUGUAGCUACCUUUCGUUUUUUCAUUCGGGUGACAUUGACCUUUUUAAGCCCCUCCUUUCAUAUUUUUGGCUUUCUUAUUCAUGUAAUAAGAGCAAAACACGGGAAUGAACAGUGAAGAGAAACUAUGCUGUAGUGCCAGAGAGAAUUGCAGUAUUUCAGAAGAAAUGGGUUGGGUCCGGCUUUCGUAUUCAUGUAAUAAGAGCAAAUAACGGAAAUGAACAGUCAAGAGAAACUAUGCUGUAGUGCCAGAGAGAAUUGCAGUAUUUCAGAAGAAAUGGGUUGGAUCCGGCUUUUGUAUUCAUGUAAUAAGAGGAAAUAACGGAAAUGAACAGUCAAGAGAAACUAUGCUGUAGUGCCAGAGAGAAUUGCAGUAUUUCAGAAGAAAUGGGUUGGGUCCGUCCACGAUGGGACACGUCAGAGUGACCGGCUAGCUCAGUCGGUAGAGCAUGAGACUCUUAAUCUCAGGGUCGUGGGUUCGAGCCCCACGUUGGGCGUCAUCACUCUAUUUGGAAAGGACGAAUGGGAUGUUGGACUGCUGAAGGAAAACAUCAAAAUCCAUUCUCUAUGAGCCUUCACACAAUCCUUGUUCUUGCAAAGUAUGUGCAGGCCCACUUUGAAAUUCGGAGGGUUUCAUGGAUAUUUUGAGAACUUUUUGUGACGCCAUUUGCUAACCAGUUUAAUCCAAUAACUUCACACCACAUGAAAACGGGUCACGACUCUUAAAAACUUCUUAUGCUGGUAUAAAAGUAGGUACCUACAUAUGGAAGACGAAACUAAUGAAGUUCAAAAAGAAUCUGGUCCGCCACAAGAUUUCCUUCCAGUGUAAAUACCAAGUUAUUAGUUUUAGCUACCU